rnacentral:misc_RNA from 1 species
GAUGAAGAACGCAGCGAAAUGCGAUAAGUAAUGUGAAUUGCAGAAUUCAGUGAAUCAUCGAAUCUUUGAACGCACAUUGCGCCCCUUGGUAUUCCGAGGGGCAUGCCUGUUCGAGCGUCAUUAUCACCCCUCAAGCUUUGCUUGGUGUUGGGGCCUGCUGUAAUAGGCAGCCCUUAAAAUCAGUGGCGGUGCUUCAAGGCUCUAAGCGUAGUAAUUCUCCUCGCUAUAGUGUCUAGUGGUUGCCAGCGAGAACCCCCCAAUUUUCAUGAUUGACCUCGGAUCAGGUAGGGAUACCCGCUGAACUUAAGCAUAUCAAUAAGCGGAGGA